AUUUCUUUUCAUUUAAUUACCUCCUCUUUAGUUGCUGCUCAGCUUCUAGGUCCCCAAUUCCAGGCCUCUGGGCACCAACCACCCCUGCCCUUUCCCACCCUCUGCCCAGAGGAAUCUUCCCUUCUCGUCGUGUAAAGGUUGCUCCUUUCUUCGAUCUUGUUGCCCUUCUCUCUGCAAAAGCAUAUUUGAGGGGGUUAUGGCCGGCGACUUUCGAGUUCUGCCGCUGCUGAUCCUUGCUCUCUCUUCCAGGGGAUUCUUGGAGAUGAGCACCAACCCAAUCGCCCACGGAGAGGAUUUCAGGUGUGGAGGAUUGGCUGUGACCAAGGCAGCAAGCAUAAAGAACAUUCUGAGGGCAUUGAAGGAGAAAAGAGGUGAAAUUUGUUUGGAAUACUUGCGAAGCUUGUCUGUGGAUGAGAUCAAAGCUGAGCUAUCCAAGUUCAAGGGAAUAGGACCAAAAACGGUACAAGUUUUUGCUAAUUCUUAUUCAAUUUUAAGUCUGGGAAUCUAAAGGAGAGUGAAGUGAAACCGAUUUUAGUUUGAUUUCUACUAAGUAAUUCCUUUUCUACUCGAAAGUUAAAAUUUUUGAGGAUGAACUGUUGGAUGAGUCUCCUUGAUUACCAUGUUUUGGUUACCUUGUUGGCUACAUUUGAUUCUCGAUAUCUAGGGUGAAGAAUUGAAGAUUUACUAUGCGAUGUGUUUCCAUUGAGUUUUGAGCUUAUCUUAGGCUUUAAAUCACGGGCAUCGUGAGGUAGAUUCGAUUCAAUGCACUGCUUUGUGCUAAUCCAAAGGCUUAGGGAAAAUCCAAUUGUGUGAGCAAUUAUGGGUGACAAAGUUGCUGGAGUCGCUUUUCAAAACCUUUCGGGUGCAGAAAAUAUCAGCCCUUGAAGAAGUAGAGAGGAGACUGGAGAAGAAGAUUUUCUGAUACUGAUAAGAGAACUAUUAUACAUAAUUUGGCUUUCACUGUAUGCAUUUGCCACUUCUUGACAUGUGUAUGCCCUUGUAGAUGAGGCAACAGGGUGAUCUGCAAUACUUUAGACUAGCUCUUUGUGUAGUAUGCAAACCAAACGCCAAAGAUGCUACAGAUCUUUGUGGGAUAGUGAAUAGUUGGAUAUGUAUCAAUUUUGCAAAGAAUGUGCAAGAUAAUUUGGCUAGGAGAUUUUGUCAUGAGCUUGCUCAGAUGUGCCAGAUAUCAGGAAUGGAAUUUUCUCUAGAUCCUGUGCUUCAUCCUCUAACUGCUCAGCCUGAUCAUGUUGAAAGAGCGCUUUCAACACGCUAUCAUGAUGCAAUGACCUUACUCCAACCUUAGGGAAAGGAGCUUGAUUUGCUCAUUGUAAUAUUGCCUGAUAAUGAUGGUUCUCUUUAUGGUAUGAUGUCUUUCUUGCACUUGAUCUUGUUCGACACAACUUGAUAUUUUUACUUGUUGACAAAUAUCAAUUGGUUGAACCUUUUAGCUUUAA